GACGAACGCUGGCGGCGUGCCUAAUACAUGCAAGUUGAGCGCUGAAGGUUGGUACUUGUACCAACUGGAUGAGCAGCGAACGGGUGAGUAACGCGUGGUGAAUCUGCCUUUGAGCGGGGGACAACAUUUGGAAACGAAUGCUAAUACCGCAUAAAAACUUUAAACACAAGUUUUAAGUUUGAAAGAUGCAAUUGCAUCACUCAAAGAUGAUCCCGCGUUGUAUUAGCUAGUUGGUGAGGUAAAGGCUCACCAAGGCGAUGAUACAUAGCCGACCUGAGAGGGUGAUCGGCAAAGUUGGGACUGGGACACGGCCCACACUCCUACGAGAGGCAACAGUAGGGAAUGUUCAUGCAAGGACGAAAGUGUGACCGAGCAACGCGGCGGGAGUGAAGGAGGUUUUCGGGUCGUAAAAGUCAGUUAGUAGAGAAGAACGUUGAUGAGAGUGGAACGCUAAUAAAGUGACAGUAACUACCCAAAAAGGGACGGCUAACUACGUA
rnacentral:rRNA from 1 species